CAGGGAUCAGCAAUGGCUUUUGUCUCUGGCCUGGACUGCAGGGAUCUGGCUGUGCCUAGAUGUGAAGAGGCAAUGCACAGUAAGGAAGAAGGCACAUGUGCGGGCGUGCAAGCUUGGGCAGGUGCACAUGGAGCCAGCAAGGAUUCUCCAGGGAGCCACCAUCACCCUGAUAUCCAGCGGGAGCUGGUCUGAGCUACGUUACUCCCAAGCCCUGCUAGCUGGCUCCCCAGGAAAGCAAGAACUCACACAAAUGACUCUUGGGCGUUUGUGGAAGAGCUGAGUCCUCAUCACUUCCUGUGGGCCUUUCUGAGCAUAAUAAGAUCCUCUCUCUUGCAUCAGCCAACCCAGGAGCUGCUGAUAAACCAUGGCACAAGCUUGAGCCAGAGUUGACCUUAACCAUUGACAGCCCACUGAGCACUCAUCAUGUGCUAAGCAUUAUCUCAUUAAACCUUCACCACAAUCCUGCAAGGUAGGUGCUGUGUUACCCCAUUUUACAGAUGAGGGGAACCAAGGCCUACAGUUCCACAGCAGAUAAUCUGCAGCAGAAAAAUUCAACCUCCAGGCAAUUCUGAAUGUAGUCAUUGGUGACGGAAGAAAAUAUUUGUCUCUGAAAGCCAUCCGUGGAGAUCAUAAAAUCAUUCCUACAUCUUGCCUUGAGCUAGCAGAAUGAAAUUGCCCAGAGUGGGUGAGUGGCGGUAAUGGAGGCGAUUGUGAAGCUUGCAUUAUUUAGUAUAGAUGAGGCUCUGUAACUUCUUCAUAUUUAGAUGAAGGCUGUGUCCCCUCUGCCCUUCCUGUGGAGUUUCUGUGGAGGAGAAGGUAGAGGAUAUUGAGUGGGUACAGUGAAGCACCUUAGGCUUAGCUGGAGGAGUUGGUGAUAACUUUACCCUCAAAUUCUUAGAGAAAAAGAGCAGACGUGUCCACAUCAUCUUUGGGAGAAGGCCCGAGGAAUGGUGGGGUCUGUGCCAAUAGGUUAGGGUAAACAAAAGUAAUUUCUUGAUACCCAGCUUUAAGGGGAAGGGUUUGUGGCUAGAUUAGCACAGAAUACUUGUUUAUUGUGUUUCAAGUCCUUUGUCUCCCCCCCCCCCCGCCCCCAGCCUAAGGAAGACUCAAUAAGAGGAAUAGGUAGAGGGAGGCUUAGACUUGAUUUCUUGUUUUUUAAAUUUCUUUCCUUUGAAUUUAGCCCGGGAAACACUUGAACGAUUGUUUUCCAACUGAGCUAUAAAGUACAGCAUUUGUGAGUGAAGUUGCCCCUCUUACUUUCAAGAUAAUUGACUUUUAUAUUUCAUUUUCUAUUUCCUCCAGAAAAAGUCAAAAUGUUCUUUUUGAGAGCUUGGCUUUCCUGUGGGUGAUUUUCCAAGGUGGGUACUUCAUUGACCAACAUUUGAGUGUGACAACAGCAUCCAGCACGGACGGUCAGUACUAGCUACUACCUACAGACAAACUCCCGCAGCAAGCCUUAGAGAAUAUGCUGACUUUAUUAUAUUCUCACUUGAAACAUCCUAAGAAGGUCCACACAUUCCUUUGGGGUCAUGAGACCAUGGCAGGGGUUGGGGGCGAGGGUUGGAUUUCUGUGUAGAAUUGAAUCCUCCACAUGAUGGCACAGGGUGGUCAUUGGGGAGAGCUGGGAGCCUUUGGCUACCCUGUCUUAGCCAUGAUUUCCAGCACUGAGCAAAUGAGAGCUAAUUUUAGGUGACAUCUGGACAAGGCUUUACCUCACACUGCACCCUGCAGUGACACCACAAAGUGUCUUUUCAAUUUUCAGUCCUUCUGAACAUAGGAAGGAUAAAUUCUCAGUUUUGUAAACUUAUAUCUGCACUCAUGAGAAAAGACGGGUACCGGUUUCUGAUUUGGAGGUAUUAGGCUUUAAUUGCUUUGUAAAACAUGCCAGCCUCCCCUCCACCCAUAAUUACUCUAUGGCAGUUUUAAAGGUAGGAGGAAAUUUUAUUUAAAAACAGAUUGGUGUAUUUCUCUCACAUUCUAUGGUGUCUUUGGUUGGGCAAGAAUGCACUGGCACAGUGCUCUGCUCCUCCAGGAUUCGGUGCAAUGGCUAAGGCAGGACGUGAGGCUGGCUACGCUCUGUUCAUUACUGCUUCCUCAAAAAUCACACUGAACCAAGACCAUGGCCACGGAGACUAGGAAUGCUGUCAUCCUCCCCCGUCCUCACUCCUGUGAGGCCUGGCCUCCUGAGUCUGCCCACUUUGUAACAAGUAUUAUGAAUGGUUGGGAGAAAAGCAGCAGCCUUGGUUUUAAGCAGGGCCAGUGAUGUAAUGACCUCGUAUCUUUAAGGUUCAGUUCCUCACCUCAGGCCAAGGGGCUCCUGUUCUCUUACUUCUGGAAGGUGGGGUCUAGUUCACCCCUGCAGCCUGCUGAAGCUGUGUGCUCCAAGGGCCAGGAAUGGAUGGAGCAGGUGCAGAUGGGAUGGGUGAUGCAGCGAUAGCAGCCGCGGCACUGAGAUCGUGUCACACGUGAGUUCUGAGCCUUUUCUCCGCUUAGGCUGCAAAUCCUUGGCAAUCGGAGGCAGGCUCUGAAUUAAGCUUAAUUAAAACUCACUCUUAAUUAGGGCCAUUACUUAAAAUCAACUCUAUGUAAUAAAGCCGUGUAAUCAUAAUUAAGCCCCAGGAAUGGAAUUAGGAAGCAGGGAAUGUGAAAGCCAAAUACAAGGGCCUUGUGAUGGUGGGGGUGACAGAGCCUUCUUCUUCAAUUAACAGGAUUUUUAAGUAAAUGAGCAGCAGCCAGUCGUGGUGACGACUUGGGUAGCCACAGGCAUGGUGAGCACACCAGAAAGGGGACGGACUUGAAGAAAGUAGACCCCAGGGGCAAUGGGCUCAGGUAGUGUGAUGGGUGACAGGGACAGUCACAAUGUCCAAACUGUCUUUAAUUUAAAAUCCUUGCUUCCUAAGGAACUCUUGUUAGAGGAGCUUGGAUCAGCACAGCCAAGGUCAGCGCUAUCCACCUGUCUUCUGGCUGCUGAUGUCACAGUCAUAGUGAUUGAUCCUAAGGAGAAAAGGGAAGUGACUCCUGGUGGCAGCCUCCUGCUUUGAUAUCAUUAAUAAGCCACCAAAGAGUGGGGACACAAUUUGGAAAUGAAAGGGCCAGUUUUGCAGGUUGGACGUACCAGAUGCUGGCAGUGGCCUAGGGUGUUGUUUCCUUCUCAAUUUCUUGAGCUAUGGUGUGGAAAUUGAAAUAGGCAGUGCCUUCAGGUUGUUCUGAUAAAUAUAAAGCAUUUAUAUAGCAUAGUGUUUACCGUAGUGCCUACAAACAACAGCAAAGUUUAUAUAGUUCUAAUAUAGGUAUGCUGCAGUAAGCACUGUUGUUUAUACGUUUGAGACCGCUGUUGGCCAUAGAUGUCAUAUUAAAUAGACAUCAUUUUCUUUAAUUUAUACGUAAAUAACUGUGGACUCAAAGAGGCCCAGGAACUCACAUAGGACAAGUAACAUCCCAUGGGAAGGAAGUGCAUAGAAAGAGCCACACAUGCAAGAGUUAUAAAGGCAGUGUCUGCCCCAGCUUGUUACUGAUCAGAGUCGGUGACGCCCACCGGAGAACAAGUGCCUAGAAGCACAGGCCUCUCAGAGAAGGCUGCUCUUUCAGGCCUAGUUUCUAGGCCCAAGCCUGUUUGUCUAAUUCUGCCAAAGAAAGAGACUUGCUCAUUCCAGAGUUAUAGAGUUGGAGGGAAAGUACAGACAGUUUCUUCUCCCAGCUUCCCCUCCAUUUCAUUUUCUUUGCUCAGGGUUCUUGGGGUUAUUCUUAGAAGUGGUAAGGGGGUGUAGACAGCCAUAACCUUCACCUCCUGUUUCCCUUUUAUAGCCCCCAUUUCUCCAGGAGUGUCUCCUCCUGUGGGCAGGUACAGACAUCAUGCCUGGUACCAGGUUAAAGCUCUGCACACACAUUGUCUCUUUUAUUCUGCAUCCAAGCUUCAAAGGUUGGGAUCAUCAUCUGUGCACUGCAGAUAGCAUGCUCUUCCAGAGAUGCAGGCUGGAGCGGGUCCCCCGGACAGUUUCUACCCAUGGCAGCAUCAGCACUGAAGUUACACCUUUGACUCAGCCAACAUCUCAGAGCUCACGUUUCCCAAGCAGCCUUGGGUCCACACAGCGACUCCCCUUGACGCUUGCAGGCCUCAGAACUCGCUGAGCUCAGUUCUCCUGAUUGGUCUUCAAGACAGUACAAGGUAGAAAUUCAGCUGGGGCCAGGUCGUCAUGAAGUCAUCCAACUCUGACCUUUAAUAUCAUCGUUAAGUGAAUGAUACACAUGCAAAUGUUGGUUGGGCGGGCUAUGUUCAAAGUGUUAGAUACUGAGGUCUUGAAUCUUUCACAGUUUUGGCAUGGCUGGCUUAACAUUUCUGCAUUUGUUAAUGAACAGAAACCAUCAUUAGAAAGAAAGCAGGAUACAGGCUAACCAGUGAAGGUCUGGGACAUAACCUAGUGGUCACCUUUGCUCAUCUCUGACUGGGACUUUGUGCUUUUGGGCUCCCUAGAGAGGCCAUCUUGAUUAGAGGCGUAGGCCUGGAGAUAGGGGGCACUCUAGUAAGGAAAGUUCAUGAUUACCACCAGGUAGCACUACAAAUCAACCAUGAACCCUUGUUCUUGAGAGAGGGAAGACUGUGGCAGGUAAGAGAGCUAGAGACCAGCUUGGGUCGCUCAGGCUCCACUCUCCCACUGAGCGGUACCUCCCCUCCCCUCCCAUCUCCACACCAAGCUUCCCAUGUGGUGGCCCUGACCUGUGUGAAUCCAUCAUGGAGAGCAACUGGAGAGCGGGUUAGUGCCACAUGGGAGGGGAAGGCUCCCUGGUGUGUAUGGUAGGCUUUCAGGUGCUUACCGACCCCAGCACUUGACCAGAAGAAGCCUCAGUCCCUUUCCUAGCAUGACCCCUUUGUCCUUCAAGAUCAUUUGCCUCUAUUUACACUAAAUAGAGGCAGCUCCAUUUUUGAGUUCCUGUAUUUUGGGCAAGCCAAGCUGGAGGUCCCCACAGCCGGUCCAAGCAGGCCUCAGCUGUCCUGGAGAUGGUCACGUGGAAGGCGCUCCCAAGCCCGCUCCUCUGACAAAGUUUAGCAAACAGCUUAUCUCCCAGAAAACACGUGAGGUAAUGUUUAUGAAAUAUCAUCCUGUCCCCUUCACCAGGCUGUGGGGUGCUGGCAUGACUGAACAUUGCUGCUGGUGGCUGGGUCACCCUGCCCCGCCUCCCCUCAGUAGGGUAGGAAACUUCUAUCUAACCUUCCCCACAGCAGGUCUGGACAGUAAUGUUCUAUAGAUGUGUCCAGUGAGUUUAAAUCUUCAUGGUUUAAGAUGUAGCUGUGUAUGGAAUGGACAUAGUUUUCUUUAGGAGGAGACAGGCAGAGAGUAGCAGAGCAUUUUUGUCUAAAGUUGUAAAAAUCAGUUGGUGGCCUGGUGACUCUGCAAGUCUCUUCUGAACUGUUCUGCAGUAAAUAUUUAUUUUAAAAAGUAAGGAUAGAUAAAUGGAUAGUUUCAUGGGUGGACAGAAAGUGGAUAGCUGGCCAGGUGUGGUGGCACGUGCCUGUAAUCACAAAACUCAAGAAGAUAAGGCAGGAGACUUGUGAGAUUCAUUCCAAUGCGGACUACGUAUAAGAUGCCAUUUCGAACACAUAAAUGGGGGACAAUGAAGGGAAGGAAAGAAGGAGGAAGUAGUGAGGGGAGACACACACACUCAGAGGGAGAGAGAGAGAGAUGGGAGAAGAGGAGAGUUGAAGGGAGGAGAGGGGAGGAGAGGAAAAGAGAGACUAGAUACAUGGUUAGAGAAGGGAAUAUGUAAGAGUAGUUAGUUCUGGAAGAAUACACUGAAAACUUCGGGGUCUCUGGAGUAAGAAUGGGAAAGCUGGUGUGUGUGUGUGUGUGUGUGCCUGCAUGUUUUGUGUGGGUUUGAGUAUAUGUACAUGUGUGUGUAGUGUGUUUGUGUAUGUGUAUGUAGGUAUGUGUACUCUUGUAUGUUUGAGUAUAUUUGUGUGUGUGGUAUGUAUGUAAUCAGAAGAAAAACUGUCAUAAACAAUACUCUUUACUCUUGCUCCUUUGUCCCCUCUGAACUGCCGUAAUUCUUCGGUGUGAGCACAUUUUCUUUUCUUCUAUCUCUGCACACCUUCCACAAGGAUCAGAGCCACACUGGAGAGAAGGUAUUGGAGAUGUUCUGAGGAAGCCACAAUCAUUUCCUCUCUGAUGCUCUCAGAUACCUGGGCAGCUCCAACACGCGCUGUGAAGCACAGUCAUGGUGAAUGGAUGAAGCCCAGAUUUUGAUGUCUGAGAGCCACACCGGGGCUGCCCCAAUGACUUCUAUCCAAAACUGAUGACCACAGACUCCCUUGGUGGUGCCAGAGGAGAGGUAUUUUCUUUCCUGCUCUUUGUGAGUGUGACAGAUUUUAAAUAACGUACAUGUCUAGCAGCUUGGACGUGGUUAAAUGUGUUCCGUUUCGGCUCAUGAUGGAGUAAUGUGCAUUAAGAACAAACCGUAAAUCUCACCUUUCCACAACCAACACUAUGGUAAAACAGCCAAGCAGAUCCUGCAGUCAGGGUUCCUCAGGGCUGAGUGUGGAGAAAUCAGGCCAGCACAUGACAAAAUGUUAACACUCACGGCUACAAAGCUUGCAUCGUUUUUCAACAUUUUUUUUCCAUUUCCAAAAUGCCAUUUUCAUUGUAAACAUUUUAUAAAUAAUGAUCUCAAUUUUUGUAGGGGAAUAAAAGCAAAGUGAUGCAUUUGGGUGAUAGGAUCACAAUUUAUUUUUAUGUAUUAGUUUAUUUUGUUUUUAGAAACAGGGUAUUAGUAUGUAUCCCAGAACAGUCUUGAGCAUGCUACAUAGCCCUGGCUGGUCUCAAACUCACAGUGGUCCUUCUGCCUUGUCCUCUGGAAUGAUGGAAUUACCAGUGUUUGCUGCCUUGCCUGGUUUUCCCCAUGACUUUAUAGUUCCUAAAUUUUAGGCAUUUUUUUGUGUUUACUGUUAUACUGGGCAUCCUAUUUGACAUGGUUUUAAAAAUACAGGUGGAAAGGGAAAGAGAUCCAUUGCUAAGCAGCCCAUGUUUCAGGCUCCCCUUGACUCAUUCCUGGCCAUUGGUUGGGUUGUUAUUUUAUGAGCUUCUCAGAUGUUCAGGUCAGCUGACCCUGGGGAGUAGUGUGGUGCAAGAAACGUUAAGGAGGAAACGAUACCAGCCCAUGAGUGGGGUCAGACACGGUCUAGCUGGGGAGACAUACAAAUUACAGGUGUCACCCUAAAGUUUCUUAAGAGUAAACUUAGCAGUGUCUGUGACUUCGAAGUCACCCCAUCUGCUCCCCUCCAUUCCUGCUCCCUUCAGCUGCCUUUUCUGUGAAUGUAAGCGAUGUCAUCCUGUCAUUGUGAAGAUCUAAUGAUGCCUUGUGCUAAAGGUUGAGCAAAGCCCAUCUCCAGUGUGGGUCAUAUGAUAAAUGUCAUGUUAAAGGUGCGUAUGACCAACCAACAGCAAGCCAGGGCCCCGAUGUGCAGAGCUGCCUUUGGCUCACUGCAGAGCUGGUGGCUAUGAUCCCAGCAGGCAAUCUAUUUCCCUUCUGUGUCUAACUGAAAUGUGUUCUGAACCUCGCCAUAUGGCCUUGCAGAAGGAACAGGCAACUUCUCAUUCAAAGAUCAAAAGAUAAAUUAAUCUGCUACAAUGAACAGGACAGGAAGGCAGCCCUUUUGCUUUAUUCUGUAUGUUGUGACUCGGUCUACACUGCUGCUGGGGCUCUUGGUACAGAAAAGUCCUUCUGAAGCCCAUUGUAGUGACAGAGCCUCACUUGGUUUGACUUCUCACUGUGGGUUUGAGCCAUAGGCAAAGGCCCUGCUGUGCAGAAGGUCAUGACCUAAGAGCAGAAGGAAAGGACAGGAAAUGGCUGUGCAUAGGGAACAGACCGAGGGAUCUGUAACAAAGCAAAGAUCCUCUAAGUAAGCUUGGGAGUCUAGGACACCAUCCUGCAAGAGGGAGCUCAGAGAUAAAAUCAGGGGGGGAAAUCCAUAUAGGUGUUCACAUCGUUCCAUAGAGGUGUUCACAUCAUUCCACAUCGAUAUUGAUUUGUGUCUGUCCUUUGGAUCAUUGACUUUAGAAAUCUACCUCCAUCCACUGACAAGCCAUCCUGCCACGUGCUAGACAUCGGUGUGAAGGAGAAGAACACAGAGACCAUUCCUGAACAAGGAAGGUGUGCAGGAGAAUGGAACAGGGGCCAAGACUGUACUUCAGAGAGAUGGGAGGCCAGGUAGUGUCUAAUGAGGCCAGAUGGGCAGAAAAGGUUCAAUGGUGUCCAGGAGAGCAGCGGCUGGAGCUGGGUCUUCAAGGGCACUGUACACUGUGACCAGCAGAUGUGACUGACACAGGUGCUUUCAGCUGCUUCAGAAACAGGGCAGUGAUACAUGGGGACCUGCAUCGCAACUGAGUUCCAGGAGUCCUGAGGCAGAAAGGGUACCGUGCAGUGGGAAGGCCCAGGGAGAUCACAUGUUAUAGGCUAGGGGACUACGGCAGUAACAAGAGGUAGAGUCCACACACAUGCAGCUUCUUGUGUGCUUAGGAACAGAGGUUACAAUGAAUAAUUUUGGGGUGCAGGGCCCUCAUCUUUGAUCCCUAUGACUUCAGUUGGGAGAGGAGGAUUAUAUUAGUCUAUAUUUUCCUUUAUCAGAUGGCUUUAGAAAAACACACUGAAGCCGGGCGGUGGUGGCGCACGCCUUUAAUUCCAG
rnacentral:lncRNA from 1 species